UCCAACUUCUAAAAUCUUUAGGCCUGAGGGGACCAUAUAUUGGGCCCAAGACUUGAGAGGCCCAAAAUGCAUUUCUAUCCAAAAUCGUGCGAUUGUUAUAUCAUAAAUUCAUGGAAUUGGAAGCAACACUAAUCUCUAGUUCUACGGAUUACUUCUUAAAGCUAUACAUACAGUUCAAAUUCAAGCCGAUUCUUCUACCCGAAUCGUCUACCGCCGUCAAUCAGGUAUUUCUUAUGUCAAAUACUUAUGAAAUAUUAUUAUUUUCGUUUUAUUAUAUCAAUUUUCGAUAGCUGAUUAGUGAUUACUCGAUUAUGUUAUACGUAGGGUUUAAUGGUAUAUAUUCAUGAUAUUUAAUACUCUUUUUUCUUCUUAUUUGGAAGUAUUGGAAUGUGAACUCUAACAAAAAUUGCAUUCAAAAAAUGAAAAAUAGAAUUCUUUAAACCGAUUAGAUCCUAUUCUUUAUGUUUUAUUAAGAGUUGUUAUUUGUUUUGAUUUGAAGAAAUAGAACGUGAAUUCUCAUAAAAAGAAUUUUUUAAAUUUAUUUAUCCUGUGUGGUUGUGUAUGGUUGAACAGAGUCAUUUUUUCUUUAUGGUUUAUUAAAAUACAAAAAAUGUCAAUCUAUUAAUCCACUUUUUUUUUUUUUAUUUAGCAUCAAAUCAAAAUAUAUUAUAAUCAUCUUUCCUACAUACCAACCACACCAAACCCCACCCCAUCCAUCCCAACCUUAACCCUUUUCAUAAAAUCUUGACAUUUAACUUGUAGAUUAGGGUUAAAUGUUAAUAAUUAAAUUUUCUUUCCAUGAUUAUAUUUACUAAAUUUUUUUUUACUUAAAUUGAUCUUAUAAGGUUUAUAAUAAAUUUUUAUGGAGUUUAGGUGUUAAUUUUAUAAAAUUUAGGUUUUUACGACUUUUUAGGGUUGUGGGACCUUGUUAGCUAUUUAAAAAUAUAAUGAAGUGAAAUUAGAAUAUUUUAAUUUAUUUUAGGGUUUCAUACCCUUUUUCAAUUGUAUCAAUGUUUUUAUUUUGUUUUAAUUCAGGUAUUGACAUUCUCUAUAGUAGUUGAACAAUUCACUUGAAUUGUAAAAGUCAAGUAUAUUGGUCCUAGAUUUUUGUUGGAUCAAAGUUUCUACAAGAUUAUGACCUAAUAUCUACUACUAGGCCAUCGCAUGAUGUGCAUAUAUGGUUUUUAUAAAAAAAUGCAUGAGUCCGAGAAUGACCUGAAUUUGACAGUUGUCACAGUAUCCCCCACUCAAAAAGAAUUUUGUCCCGAAAUUCAUUCUAUGUCAUCAUUUGUCAUCGUAUGGAAAAAGUUGUGGAUACUUUUCCUUCAUGAGGUCCUCACGCUCCCAGGUGUACUCUGGCCCGCGUUUUGAGUUCCAUCGAACUUUCACAAUCAGAAUUUUACUCCUCUUGAGUUGUUUCACCUCUCUGUUAAGGAUUUGUAUCGGCCCCUCAACAAAAUUCAGCUUAUCACUGAUCUUGAUUUCCUCCAGAGGUAUUACCAAUCCUUCAUCGGCUAAACAUUUCUUAAGAUUAGAGACGUGGAAUGUGUCGUGAAUGGCGCUUAACUCUUGGGGUAAUUGAAGUUUAUAUGCCACCGGACCGAUCCUUUCAAUGAUCUCAAAGGGGCCAACAUAUCUUGGGCUUAGUUUUCCUUUUUUACCAAAUCGUACAAGCCCUUUCCAAGGAGACACCUUUAGAAGUACCUUGUCUCCGACUUGGAAUUCUAAAGGUUUCCAACGAUUGUCUGCAUAACUUUUCUGACGAUCUCUUUUCACCUAAACUUCCCUUUAUUGAAUUCUUAGUUCGAAUCAUGUCGUUAGUCAAUCGAUUUGCCAAAGUCACUGCACUCUGAAUGGUGGUUGGGUUUGAUGAAGUAACCAUACCCUGAAUCUCUGGUGCCAAACCCCAGAUGUAGCGAUCAAUUCGUUUCUCUUCAGGAGUGACCAUGUGAGGCACCAACUUUGCAAGUUCAUGGAAUCGGACUGUGUACUUCUCUAUCUAUGUUCCAACCAUGGUAUGAUUCCAGAAUUCAGACUCAAGCUUCUAAACUUCAUCUUUGGGACAAUACUCCUCCAUCAACAUCUUCUUCAACUCCUCCCAUGUUAGUUGAUACGUCGUUGCACAACCUCGGGUUUGCACUUGGGUAUUCCACCAUGUCAAUGACCUAUCCUGGAGUAGACAAGUUGCAUAUUCCACUUUGUUGCGUUUGAGACAUUUGCUGAUGUGAAGGACCGACUCCAUACUAUCAAUCCACUUCAGCAACCCAACUGCGCCUUCUUUUCCAUGAAACUCCUUUGGUUUACAUGCCAUAAAGGACUUGUAGUUGCACUCUCUUUCAUUGUUACCCUGAUUUCCACUCGGAUUUCCUUGAGUAGCGUUUAGACCCGCUGUGACUUGAGUGACGAUGUUUGGGAUUGCCGCCAUGAGCUGUUGUGCUACUAGUUGAGCAACAUCAUGUGUUUCGUUCUGUGGGCGUCCACGAGUUGGCCUUCCUGAAGGCAUGGUUCUAAGACACAAUAAUAAAAUACAUAUAAGCAAUUAUUUUUAAAAUAGUGUAAAGUUUUCAGUACUACAUUAUUUUCCAAAUCAUUGCAUAAAGUCAAAACAAUAUUUUGCACCACUAUUAUGCAUACAAUUUUAUUGUUUAUGCAAAAUCUUUUAUCUGACAAUAAACAUUUAUCAUAAAUUUCAUAACUAAACUUCACAUUUCAAACUUUUGACAAACAUAAUAUAAGUUUUUCUACAAAAUAUUUAAAAUAGUUUAAACAUUCCAAAACAUUACAUCAUUAUCAAAACAAGGUUUUCAGUUUUCUUCCAAAAGACAUUUCAAAUGACAUCCCACAUGGGUAUUCAAAACAUAACAAAGCAAAGUACACACAUCAGAACCAAACAUGGAUCACUAUCCCAACGAAAAACAUCAACACCAUAAUCAUUUUCACCACAUUUGCACUCUAACUUCUUUCUCACUCUCUCUUAUUUUCUAUCACUUCAACCACUCAACACUCUCAUUCUCCCUCUCCAAACCCACAAAUUUCUCCAGCCAAGAACACCUCUCAACCUUCAAAUCUUCAUCUUCUAGGGUUGUUCUUCAAGGUAAUCACGAAAAUCCUUCAUCUUCCUUCAUUUUUCUUUCUUGUUUUAAAGGUUUUUCUUGUACCUUCUCAUUCUCUACACCAUUCUUUAUGAACAUUCAUGAACAUAUCCAUGAAUGUAGAGUUUGAUGAUGAUGGUGGUAGGGUUUCACCCAAGAACAACAUGCAUGUUGUUUAAUGGUGAAAUUCAAGGACCAAAACCUAUGUCAAACCCUAAAAUACGGAUUUUUACAAGUUUUAAAGGUUCAUAUACCUUAUGUAUUCAAGUAUUUCCUUUGAAAACAUCACUAUGACCAACAUAUGUCAAUGCAUGGUCUUGAAAAUGUGAUGCAUGUGAUGAACACCAAGCUAAAGAGCUUGAUGAUAUGUUGGUCAUAGUGAUGUUUUCAAAGGAAAUACUUGAAUGCAUAAGGUAUAUGAACCUUUAAAACUUGUAAAAAUCCGUAUUUUAGGGUUUGACAUAGGUUUUGGUCCUUAGAUUUCACCAUUAAACAACAUGCAUGUUGUUCUUGGGUGAAACCCUACCACCAUCAUCAUCAAACUCGACAUUCAUAAAGAAUGGUGUAGAAGAAUGAGAAGGUACAAGAAAAACCUUUAAAACAAGAAAGAAAAAUGAAGGAAGAUGAAGGAUUUUCGUGAUUACCUUGAAGAACAACCCUAGAAGAUGAAGAUUUGAAGGUUGAGAGGUGUUCUUGGCUGGAGAAUUUCGUGGGUUUGGAGAGGGAGAAUGAGAGUGUUGAGUGGUUGAAGUGAUAGAAAAUGAGAGAGAGUGAGAAAGAAGUUAGAGUGCAAAUGUGGUGAAAAUGAUUAGGUGUGUUGGGAAGGGGAAGGGUGUAUUUGGAGAGGGGAGGCCGAGUUUUUUAAGGGUAUUAGAGAGUCUCCCUUUCACUUAUUUCUUAUAAUUAUAAUCUCUCCUAUUUUUAAAUUUUUUUUCCAUAUUUUUAUAACUAUGCAUUAACUUAGUUUUCUUUUCAUAAAAUCUUGGCAUUUAACUUGUAGAUUAGGGUUAAAUGUUAAUAAUUAAAUUUUCUUUCUAUGAUUAUAUUUACUAAUUUUUUUUUACUUAAAUUGAUCUUAUAAGGUUUAUAAUAAAUUUUUAUGGAGUUUAGGUGUUAAUUUUAUAAAAUUUUGGUUUUUACGGCUUUUUAGGGUUUUGGGACCGUGUUAGCUAUUUAAAAAUAUAAUGAAGUGAAAUUAGAAGAUUUUAAUUUAUUUUAGGGUUUUGUACCCUUUUUCAAUUGUAUCAAUGUUUUUUUUUUUUUUUUUUUUUUUUUUUUUUUUUUUUUUUAAAUUCGGGUAUUGACAUUCUCUAUAGUAGUUGAACAACUCACUUGAAUUGUAAGAGUCAAGUACAUUAGUCCUAGAUUUUUGUUGGAUCCAAGUUUCUACAAGAUUAUGACCUAAUAUCUACUACUAUGCCAUCGCAUGAUGUGCAUAUAUGGUUUUUAUAAAAAGAUGCAUGAGUCCGAGAAUGACCUGAAUUUGACAGUUGUCACAAUAUCCCCCACUCAAAAAGAAUUUCGUUCCGAAAUUCAUUCUGUGUCAUCAUUUGUCAUCGUAUGGAAAAAGUUGUGGAUACUUUUCCUUCAUGAGGUCCUCACGCUCCCAGGUGUACUCCGGCCCGCGUUUUGAGCUCCAUCAAACUUUCACAAUCGGAAUCUUACUCCUCUUGAGUUGCGUUUAGACCCGUUGUGACUUGAGUGACAAUAUUUGGGAUUGCCGCCAUGAGCUGUUGUGCUACUGGUUGAGCAACAUCAGGUGUUUCGUUCUGUGGGCGUCCACGAGUUGGCCUUCCUGAAGGCACUGUUCUAAGACACAAUAAUAAAAUACAUAUAAGUAAUUAUUUUUAAAAUGGUGUAAAGUUUUCGGUACUACAUUAUUUUCCAAAUCAUUGCACAAAGUCAAAACCAUAUUCUGCACCACUAUUAUGCAUACAAUUUUAUUGUUUAUGCAAAAUCUUUUAUCUGACAAUAAACAUUUAUCAUAAAUUUCAUAACUAAACUUCACAUUUCAAACUUUUGACAAACAUAAUAUAAGUUUUUCUACAAAAUAUUUAAAACAGUUUAAACAUUCCAAAACAUUACAUCAUUAUCAAAACAAGGUUUUCAGUUUUCUUCCAAAAGACAUUUCAAAAGACAUCCCACAUGGGUAUUCAAAACAUAGCGAAGUAAAGUACAGACAUCAGAACCAAACAUGGAUCAGUAUCCCAACGAAAAACAUCAACACCAUAAUCAGGAGUACUCCUCCAAACAUAUAGCAUGUGGUCACCAAACGAUCCACAACUCUCUCUGCAUUCCUGGCAGUCUGGAUAGCUUCUGUCGCAUACUGAUGCAGGGUAUCCAUUCUUACCAUCAUCUCAUCCUAUAUAUGUUGAUGUUCAUCAAUCAUUGCACGAUCCUGACAUAAACCUGCUGCCAUACACUGAAUCCUCCUAGACUCCUCCGGGGAUAGACCUGUAUGUCGAACAGGAAUCUCGAUGUCUCGUUGUGGUGGGGGUACUCCCGAUCCUGCUAUGCUAGGUCCUACCAUGCUAGGUCCUGCUCCGUCAGAUGUCAUCCCCAUAGGUCUGGGGACGCUCUUCCUUGCCGUCCGUUUGCACCCGCACAUGCACUUACCCAUUCGUUUGAUCACUUUGACAUAGGUACAUACAUGGGACCCUAUAAAUUUGGUGGGUAUGCCAAGUUGUGUAAAAUUUAACAUGACACUACUUAGGGGGUGUUUGGCUUAACUUUUUUAAAAACCAAAAGUCCUUUUUGGAAAAGUUACAAAAAGUCAGGAUUUCCUGACUUUUCCAAAAAGUUGAUUUUCCUUCUAUAAAAACUCCAAAAGUAUCUUUUUAAAACUAAUUUACCAAACAUCUUUUGCAUUUUUUCUUUUCCAAAAAGGACUUUUGGCUGUGAAAAGCUAAGUCAAACAUCCCCUUAAUCAACUUAGAUACCUAAUCAAUUACAUAAUCGAGAAAAAUCCCUAAUUUCAAGUGACUAAGGAUUAAAACGGAAUUAAAUAAAAUUGGAAAAUAUUUAAAAUUUUGGGGGUAAAUAGAUAUUAUCUCUGAUUGAACUUUCGGCCCCUUUUAAUCUUGUCAUUUAUCCAUGAAAGCAUAUUUACGGAUAAAUGGAAAUGAUGAAAGGGGUCGAAAGUCCAAAUAGACAUAAUAUCAGUUUUCACCCUUGUUUCCCUAGCCUAUUAUCUUGCUGGGCGUGUGGCUAUGUUUGAAAUUUCUCAUUGUUUCAAAAAAAAUCUACAAAGGAAUAUGACAAGUCAUUUACAUUGGUUUGUUUGUAAUUGAGUAAUUGACUUAGUCACUUGUAUACUAGGAUUUAGGAGUCAACUUAUUCAAAUCAAAAGCAACUUUGUUGUUCGUUUACAGCUUUGUAAUUGAGCAUUGUCUUCAAUUUUUGUAUUUUUUUUAUUUUUUUUUGUAUAUAUAUUUUGAUAAAGAAAAAAAAGAGGAGGUAACAUUGUUUCCUAGAUUACUCAUGCACGCACUGAUAUAGACGUCCAUAUAAAUUAAAUUAGGCAUGUAGUGAUGUACAAAUUCAUAUUGCUAUCUUCAUGACUUCAUGUUUGUUUUGUCUUUUACUUGGAACAUUUUGUUAAAAAUUAAUUAUUUGUGAAGGGUAGUAUCUGUAUAAACAUUAAUACGUAAUGCUUGUUUUCAGCUUAUAAUUCUCUUGUAUGCUAAGUGAAAUUUGAACCGACCAAGAUCUAAAGUAUAUCUAUUCUUCUUCUGCAGGCAUGGUAAUGGCUAAGACAAGGAGUAGGAAUAGAAAUGGGAAUCAUGAUGAUGCAUUUAGCAAGAAGAGGUUCAAGACUCGUGACAAAAGUGGUGUGGUACCCUGGUGAGAUCUUAACCACGAUGUUAUUUAUAUAGUUAUGAUGCGACUGAGAGUUGUCGAUUUUCUUGCAUUCAGCAGAGUUUGCAAAUCAUGGGGAUCGUUCGCACUCUCUAAUAGAAAGAGGUUUAUGGCGUCCAAACCACCCAUGUCCAUGUCUAUAUGCUUGUGCUAGGAAAAGCAGCUAUGUAACAUCCCAAAAAUUAAUACGAAAAUUUUUCGUUUUUAAGGGUGACUUUUCACGUAAAGUUGGCAACUUUACACUCAAUCAUGGCUUAAUGGGACUCAAAGCUCAAAAAGGAGCUUAAUAAAGAUCUUAAUGCUUGCAUGGACCAAUAUCCUCCAUAUAGUUUGCAUUUUUAUGAACAUGGGGCCUAAAUGGAGCUAAGAUCUAGUAGCCUUUGCUUCUGGAGUAGAUUAAAAGCUCAACUUUAACAAAAAAGACUCAAAAGUGAAUAAACAACACCAUAAACUAGAUCUAGCACAAAAGACCAUCAAGGUGAGAGCUUUAUACCUCAAAUGGCUUGAAAUGAUGAUGAAGCUGGAUCUACAAGCUCAAGCUACUCCCAAGCAACCACCAAUAUUUCUUCUUCUUCUUCUUCUUCUUCUUUCACUAAAACACCACCAAAAUCUCACUUACAAGCUCAAAAACUCACAAUAGGCAAUUAGGGCUUCGAAUUCAGGGCAUAAGAUGAUGGAGGUUGAUCAUAAGGGUGUCUAAAUGCGAGAAAAGUUGUUUAAAUAGGUUGCAAACUCUAAAAUUAGGGUUUACCCGUACCUCGUGUACAACAUGUGUACUCUAUGUACGCCCCCGCGUACGUGGAUGAGUCCCGCGAUCUGGGAAUAGCUUGUAUAAUAAGCGUACUCCUAGAGUACGCCCUACAUACUAGCUAGGGACCAAAAUGUAAAGUUUUGCAUUAAGGCUAAAAGGGAAAAAUUACCGGAAUAUGAAUGUUACAAGCUGCUACCUGGAGGACUUUAAAGGAUGAUGAAUCAAAACCCUCCUUCCCAGUUCUGUUAAAAGAACAUGUGUUGGAUUAACUUAUGGUUACAUGAUCGUAUACAGGGAGAAAACUCGUGACUUCUGUCUUGUGAAUCCUAUCACAAAGUAUGGACUUCAUUUUCCUAAUGUCCCCUUUCAUGUAAAUCCAGGAAUAGGAGUCAAGGAUAUCCUUGCCUUUUCACCUUCAAUACAUGGGUACGUGUUUGUUGUGAUAAAUGGCUACGACUACCAAAUAUGGAUUUCUAUAGAGGUAAAAAAAGAAUGGAAUCAUGAGUACACCAAUUUUCACAUCCAUGAUUUACAUGCUUUCAUGGGGAAGAUAUAUACACUAAUUGUCGAUUUUUCAUAGGUAUUUCAAAUGAGACUUGCUCCGGUGACAACAUUGACAUUACUCUAUACACAUUUUCCGAAGCUAAUCCGAGUUUUCGAGUUUGUAUGUUUGGAUGAAAACCUUUAUGUGAUGGCAUAAUGGUCACAAGGUUAUGACAAUAUUCAAAAACCAAAUAUUUACAAACUGAAUUGGGUGCCUCUUGAAAAGACAAUAGAAGAAUGUGCAUUCUUUCAUAGUUACAUGAGGCAAAGUGGUGCUACUAUUAAACUAGAGUCAUUUGUUGCCCCAUCGUCCCAAUACUGGAGAUUUUCUGACAGUGAUAAUCCUGGAAAAGGCAGGUUGUUUGUUGCAAAAGACAUGUAGUGCUUUCCCCAUGAUUGUAUGAAUGUAAAUAUCUUACAUGAGUAAUAGGCUUUUUACCACUCUUAUUUUUGUUUUUAUUUUUUCAUAUGUUUGAACAUUCUCAAGAUGUUGAGAGUCUACAUUUAUUGAUUUACGUGUUGUAAUUUAUUGUUUAAAGAAUCAUGUUGUUGUGUACUCUUUGCUUCAGAUAGAACAACUAUAUAUCAAUUAUAUCUCCCUUUUACUAUUAGGUCUUUUGGUGUAAUGGUGGGAUAUCUUUUUGUUCCAUAUUGGACUAACCCCUUUGUUAAGUGGUGGGUUUUGAAAAUAAUUUGCAUCAUCUAUAGAAUAAGAUAUUACAAUAUACAAUCUAUAUCAUAUAACGUAGUAAUAAAAACUAAAAAGCUACAAAAAAAAUAAUAAGUGUAAGAAAUUGGAAACGAGGAAUUAGAUAUGUGAAAU
rnacentral:lncRNA from 1 species